UGGGUAGUGAGAAAGUGUAUGAAAAUCCCUUUAAAACCCUCUUGAAAGUGCAAAUCUAGAGCAAAAGUGCAAGGAGACCGCUAGGAGAAAUUCAAAGGGGUAAAGCAAAGUGAAGAAAACCUAAAAUCACCCAGCUUUUAAGAAGCUCGGGUUUAGGUCUCGCCGCCACCGCCUGGCGGCAAAGUGAUACUGCCCGACGGUGAGUGGAAAUUUUCUCACACUUUUCUUGCUUGCCUCUUUGUGAUUUCUCCUGGUAACUCCUGAUCUUUGCCCGAAAUUUUUCAAUUUCAAGAUUUUCC
rnacentral:lncRNA from 1 species